AUGGGAAGAAUUCAAAACCUUAUUUUAAAAAAAAGGAAUGAAGAAUGUCGCUGCAGUGAAGACGACUACAUCAGGCAUUGUGAGAAGGUUUACAUAACUAUAAUGAUGAGUAAAUGUGAUGACACAGAAAAAUUGUGUCAGGGACAUUAAAAUGGAAGGAAACAAGCUAACAUUUCUUAGUACUUAAGGUGAGAUAAUUUUUAAAUCAUUUGUUAAAAUCACUAUAUUCUGUUCAUUUGAAUGUAACCAAAAAGUAGGGGAAAUAUAUAUAU
rnacentral:lncRNA from 1 species